AUUGAACGCUGGCGGCAUGCUUUACACAUGCAAGUCGAACGGCAGCGCGGGGCAACCUGGCGGCGAGUGGCGAACGGGUGAGUAAUAUAUCGGAACGUACCCAAGAGUGGGGGAUAACGUAGCGAAAGUUACGCUAAUACCGCAUACGAUCUAUGGAUGAAAGCGGGGGAUCUUCGGACCUCGUGCUCCUGGAGCGGCCGAUAUCUGAUUAGCUAGUUGGUGAGGUAAAGGCUCACCAAGGCGACGAUCAGUAGCUGGUCUGAGAGGACGACCAGCCACACUGGGACUGAGACACGGCCCAGACUCCUACGGGAGGCAGCAGUGGGGAAUUUUGGACAAUGGGCGCAAGCCUGAUUCAGCAAUGCCGCGUGAGUGAAGAAGGCCUUCGGGUUGUAAAGCUCUUUUGUCAGGGAAGAAACGGUUGGGGCUAAUGUCCCCGGCUAAUGACGGUACCUGAAGAAUAAGCACCGGCUAACUACGUGCCAGCCGCCGCCGUAA
rnacentral:rRNA from 1 species